CGUGUAGGCGGAUUGGCAAGUCAAGUGUGAAAUGCCUCGGCUCAACCGAGGAACUGCGCUUGAAACUGCCUUUCUUGAGUGUGGGAGGGGAGAGCGGAACUCCUGGUGGAGCGGUGAAAUGCGUAGAUAUCAGGAGGAACGCCGGUGGCGAAAGCGGCUCUCUGGCCCAUGACUGACGCUGAGGCGCGAAAGCCAGGGUAGCGAACG
rnacentral:rRNA from 1 species